rnacentral:misc_RNA from 1 species
UGGAUACCAUCAGCUCAUUAGCCACUGGUAUGAUUCAAGAAUGAGGCUAUAUAGUAGCACAAGGUAAAAUGUGUUCUGAUGUAGAACGCAUGCCUCAAUGCUUGUGCCUUCGUUUGCAGGUUAAACACCCAUGCUGUGAUAGAGCCAUUCAUAAUUGCUACAAACAGACAGUUGAGUGUUCUUCAUCCGAUAUAUAAACUUCUGCAACCCCUG